ensembl:lncRNA
GUGAAUUGAGCAAUACUGGAGUUAAAUUGGAGCGGACGAGAAGGCGACGAUCCAGCCUUUGGGAAAACUCACUCUCGCUUCAGUCAAAUUGGGCACGCUCUACUCCGCUCAUAUACUCUACGAGUUACACAGCAAAUUAGAAAAUCAUUUUACAUCAGUAGUUCUGCAUGACAUGUUAUGUGAUUUGAAUGAGCUAAGUGGUAGGCUAUUAUGUCUUCAAUGCCUUAUCUGAUUAUCAUUUUAUGUACCAAGUUUAAUUGAGAUUUGUUUUCGAUUGUCUUACAGGGUUUCAAAUGGUAUAUUGCUGGUAACCUUUGCAAACGUAAAAAAAAUGUAAAUGUAUCACAUGACAUCUAGUUUCCUUUUUGGGUACUUGAGUUUCGGACAGGUGUCUAAUUAUCUCUGGCCCUCAAGAUUAUUACAAAAAUAGUAGAAUGACUAAGCUGUAAAACUUUAUCCUAAAUAUAAACCAUUAACUUGGUGAAUACCGUUGGGGUUUAAUAGGAUUUCAACAUGAAAUAUCCUUUGUUUUACACAUUUGACAAUGUCAAUAUGGCUUUGUUUUAAAUGUUUUGGCACAAAUGGUGGCAAUUGUGGAAAAAAUCAAUAGUUGGAAGAGUUGCAGAGUUAAUUGAAAUAAUGGCAUUGUUAAAUAGAUUUGAUUGAUUAAUUAGGCUAUUUUCUCUUUGUGCAUAUGGUCUAUCUAAUAGAAACUCAUGGACAUAGAAAGUAAAAAAUAUAUACUAUAUAUGUGUAUAUAUACAGUGCCAGUCAAAAGUUGACACCUAUUCUUUCCAGGGUUUUUAUUUUUACUAUUUUCUACAUUGUAAAAUAAUAGUGAAGGCAAAACUAUGAAGUUACACAUAUGGAAUCAUGUAGUAACCAAAAAAGUGUUGAACAAAUUCAAAUAUAUUUGAGAUUCUUCAAAGUAGCCACCCUUUGCCUUGAUGACAGCUUUGCACACACUUUGCAUGCUCUCCUCUCGAACCGCUUUUCACACACUUGGCAUGCUCUCCUCUCGAGCCUGGCAAUUCAAUGCAAGGUGCCCUCAAAUAUAAUGUAUUUAUAUAGCCCUUCUUACAUCAGCUGAUAUCUCAAAGUGCUGUACAGAAACCCAGCCUAAAACCCCAAACAGCAAGCAAUGCAGGUGUAGAAGCACGGUGGCUAGGAAAAACUCCCUGGAAAGGCCAAAACCUAGGAAGAAACCUAGAGAGGAACCAGGCUAUGAGGGGUGACCAGUCCUCUUCGGGCUGUGCCGGGUGGAGAUUAUAACAGAACAUGGCCAAGAUGUUCAAAUGUCCAUAAAUGACCAGCAUGGUCAAAUAAUAAUAAUCACAGUAGUUGUCAAGGGUGCAGCAAGUCAGCACCUCAGGAGUAAAUGUCAGUUGGCUUUUCAUAGCCGAUCAUUAGGAGUUUCUCUACCGCUCCUGCUGUCUCUAGAGAGUUGAAAACAGCAGGUCUUGUAGCACGUCCGGUGAUCAGGUCAGGGUUCCAUAGCUGCAGGCCGAACAGUUGAAACUGGAGCAGCAGCAUGGCCAGGUGGACUGGGAACAGCAAGGAGUCAUCAUGCCAGGUAGUUCUGAGGCAUGGUCCUCCGAGAGAGAGAAAGAAAGAGAGAAUUAGAGCAUACUUAAAUUCACACAGGACCCCGGAUAAGACAGGAAAAGUACUCCAGAUAUAACAAACUGACCCUAGCCCCCCGACACAAACUACUGCAGCAUAAAUACUGGAGACUGAGACAGGAGGUGUCAGGAGACGCUGUGGCCCCAUCCAAUGAUACCCCCGGACAGGGCAAACAGGAAGGAUAUAACCCCACCCACCUUGCCAAAGCACAGCCCCCACACCACUAGAGGGAUAUCUUCAACAACCAACUUACCAUCAUGAGAGAAGGUGGAGUAUAGCCCACAAAGAUCUCCGCCACAGCACAACCAAAGGAGGGGCACCAACCCAGACAGGAAGAUCACGUCAGUGACUCAACCCACUCAAGUUAUGCACCCCUCCUAGGGACGGCAUGAAAGAGCACCAGUAAGCCAGUGACUUAGCCCCUGUAAUAGGGUUAGAGGCAGAGAAUCCCAGUGGAGAGAGGGGAACCGGCCAGGCAGAGACAGCAAGGGCAGUUCGUUGCUUCAGAGCCUUUCCGUUCACCUUCACACUCCUGGGCCAGACUACACUCAAUCAUAUGACCCACUGAAGAGAGGAGUCUUCAGUAAAGACUUAAAGGUUGAGACCGAGUCUGCGUCUCUCACAUGGGGAGGCAGACCAUUCCAUAAAAAUGGAGCCCUAUAGGAGAAAGUCCUGCCUCCAGCUGUUUGCUUAGAAAUUUACACAAAUCAGACACGGACAUUAUUGUAUUAGCUCGGUUUUACGGCUCUUUCUUUAUUUUUUUAAACAAAGGGAAAAUAAUAGGUCCUCCAGCAUAUCAUCUUCUGUGCUCCGGGGUCUUGCUGUAUCCUGUGGGGAACAAAACUAAACUCCCUCUUUUAUCUCUUGUACUGAGCAUGACUAUACAGAAGUAACCUCUCUUCCCCAGUCCCCACCCCCAUAUGCUGCCCUUUUGGCAGCUUUGUGGUACUUGUCCAGCUGGUGAGCAAUCAGCCCCUUGAUUACUCACCAACCACAAUCAGCCCCAAUUAGUCCUGGCCGGAGAGCCCUUCGAGACCUGGCACGUCCAGCAGAGAGACCCAUCGCCGCGUGAUGUCGACUCCAUCUGUCACCAGGCCUCGACAAAUCUCCCCCUGGUGGCCAACCUGCGGUACGCCACAAUCCCUAAUCCCUAACUAGUUUUCUCUCCUCUCUGAACCUCUGCCUAUAUUCCAGACAUCAUCAUGAUCACCCACCCAUAUGCCACUGAGUCUGCUGUCCUGCACCUGAUGGUCAACGUACUGAAUACGCCCCAGACAGACAUGGAGGGGGAGGCCUACAAAACAGUUGUGGCGAACCUGUUUUGUUCUUUUGUAGUUUUGCAUAGUUUUCACUGUCAUUCACACACACAGAUUCACGCAUCAUGCCCUUUACAUACACCUUACAUUAUGAUACUUCCACACCUCAUUCCUUUUUCUUAGUUUAAAGUUAAUAGUUUUGUUUACAAUAAAGAACAUUUUUUAAUUGGCCUA